UUUGUGAUGCAUGUAACUUAGCACCACCAUGGACGCUGUCAAUUCAAUCGUUGCAUCUCAUUACAUCCACUAGUGGCCGCUGUGCCAGCACCUACGGACGGAGUCUCUAACACCAUGUCGGGUACGUACAUCGUAAUCACUCCAUCCGACUUUUUAUUACAUAUAGACGCAUUUUAAGUAUAGAUACAUUUAUAUUUGGACAAAUUUGAGACAGAGGGAGUAGUUAGCCGUUUUCCUCCACGGUUGGCGUAAGCGUAUCUCCCGUCUUCUCCCCUGUGUUCCCAUCCAGCAGAGCAUCGGGUGUUACAAAAACUUUUGUAGUGUAGAGGCGCGUCGGAGGACGGGUGCUGCAAAUGCAAAUCGAAUCCCUUGCUCUUCUGCUCGCGGGAGUUUCCCUCCCCUAUGACAUCGGCAGCCGCAGGCAGGCACUCGACCACCAAAGGCAGGCCAACCUUGGACUCAGAGAAGCAGCGAGGAGAGGAGGGCGUCCGCUCCUGGCAAUCAAGGGACGCCAGCAUGAUGAAUCGAUGGAACAUGGCCACACAAGGGAAACCAUCUGGCAAGAAAUAGGAAACAUGUGUGUACCUGACGAGACUUGGAUAUUUCGAAGAAUCGGUGGCAGGUCUUUGAGCAAGUAGGGGGGGAGUGUGUGACAGGAAGAAAGCAAGACUAGAGCAUAUAUCAGCAUAAGCUGCAGCGCAUGCACACCCACGCCAGGGAGAAGAGAUGUGGGAGGUUGGUAAUUGAGUUAAGCCACUCAUUCAUUUCAUUUUGUCACCUGUUGCCGAUUUCAUGAACCGUGUAGUUCUUUCAUAUUCCAGCUAGUUAAUAUGUUCCUAAUGGGUAUAUUGCAUUCAUGUUACUACAGCUUUGUUUAGGGAAAUGGGAAGUCUCAGAGCUCCUAUUUGUGCCAAAAAACUAUCGCUCAAAUAUAUAAUUCACCAAACAAGAAGUGGAAAAGAAAAGAACAUGCUGGUAGUUUAGAGAUGAAUGGAAGCAGAUUUCUAAAAUCAAGCUGCUCCAUGAAGUUCAGAAGUAAAUACUGAUAGUGACGUCACUAGUUAUUCAACAUGGAACAUUGUUCACUGAGCAUUCCUUAUAUUUUAAUUUGAGUGGGGUAUAUCUUCAGUUUCUUGUGGUGGUAGUAAGAAGCUCAAAUUCUUCUCAAUGUAAUAUCAUAAUUUUGAAAGAAGUCUGCAGGAGAGGCUUGACAGAGAAAACAUGUACAAAUAUAUACAAGGUACACACAGAGCAGAGGACUGAAAGAGCAAUGGACAGGGAUACAAGGCAGGAUACAGACGCCACUAAAUCUAGCAAAUCACGAAGAGCAGAUCGAGAACUAUCCUUAAG